UUUAUGGAGAGUUUGAUCCUGGCUCAGGAUGAACGCUGGCGGCGUGCCUAAUACAUGCAAGUCGAGCGAACAGAUAAGGAGCUUGCUCCUUUGACGUUAGCGGCGGACGGGUGAGUAACACGUGGGUAACCUACCUAUAAGACUGGAAUAACUCCGGGAAACCGGGGCUAAUGCCGGAUGACAUUUAGAACCGCAUGGUUCUAAAGUGAAAGAUGGUUUUGCUAUCACUUAUAGAUGGACCCGCGCCGUAUUAGCUAGUUGGUAAGGUAACGGCUUACCAAGGCAACGAUACGUAGCCGACCUGAGA
rnacentral:rRNA from 1 species